CACUACAGUUACUAAUCUGCAACUGCUCUAAAAGUGGGUGUUGCAUCAUUACUCUGUGGGAAAGAAAUUGUCGCACAAGCCAAUACCUCUUUAUUCACCAAACAGAAAGUAGGCAUAGAUCUGUGUGACAAGCACUA